rnacentral:lncRNA from 1 species
UGUACGUGCAUGCACGUUGCGCGUGUUCGUAAGGGAGUCUGCCUGCCUGGACCGGUGGGGUUGACGGCAUCGCGACGGUAUGCGUCUUGCACCACCGAUUUCCUCCUCGGCGCCGUUGUACCUGCGAUGCGUGAUCAGGAACGCCCGCGGCAUCUUCCUCGUCUUCUCGAUCUUCCUCCUCAGAGCACACAAGUCAUAUUCCCGUCAACUUAGGACUCACAAAUCAACUAACACUCGUCGCACCGACCGUGGUCUGCAACGGGGGUCUCGCCGAGAUGCGCAGAUGGGGUAACUCAGCCGCGCGGACAAGUGAGUACCUCCGCAUGGAGGAUCGUCCGAUCGUGAGAUAUUUGGACAUGACGGCGAAGAAAUAUAACCAGUUGACAUUUUCGACGGCUCCGAGCAGGGUUGAAAAAAUCUGGGGAGGAAAAAAAACGCCGACCGGAACGACUCUUAAUUUAGUUCUGGGCGCAAGAGGUUAACACUAGGUGGAGACGCCCGUGGAAGCGCCUCCCCUCAGUAGAGAACACCAUGGAGACACGUUGGCUCGUGUUUGGAGGAAUGUCCUCGAGGAUAAAAGGAGACAGUUCCUUCCGGAGACAGCGAUCAGCCGCCUGUUUCAUUCCCCCCUCGAUCGUGUUGCUAUUCUUGCACCGUUGCUGCCGGUACGAAUUCAGCUACUUGCUUCGGCGUUACUGCAGCGUAGGAAAGCUGUCCAAGAGCAAUUUGAUAUUAUUUGAUUGAAAGUCCUUUUUACAAAUUGUAACGCUUAAAUGUUCCACUCUUUUCCCCCUUGCGAUAAAAACUACUUCUACACCUUAAAAUAAUUAAAAUAAGUAGACUUGUCAUCGCGUAUCAUUAAAUUAUAAUCACUAGAAAUUAAAUAUGAUAU